rnacentral:rRNA from 1 species
GUGGGGAAUCUUGCGCAAUGGGCGAAAGCCUGACGCAGCCAUGCCGCGUGAAUGAUGAAGGUCUUAGGAUUGUAAAAUUCUUUCACCGGGGACGAUAAUGACGGUACCCGGAGAAGAAGCUCCGGCUAACUUCGUGCCAGCAGCCGCGGUAAUACGAAGGGGGCUAGCGUUGCUCGGAAUUACUGGGCGUAAAGGGCGCGUAGGCGGACAGCUUAGUCAGAGGUGAAAGCCCAGGGCUCAACCUUGGAAUUGCCUUUGAUACUGGCUGUCUUGAGUUUGGGAGAGGUGAGUGGAACUCCGAGUGUAGAGGUGAAAUUCGUAGAUAUUCGGAAGAACACCAGUGGCGAAGGCGACUUUCUGGCUCGUAUCUGACGCUAAGGCGCGAAAGCGUGGGGAGCAAACAGGAUUAGAUACCCCUGUAGUCC